rnacentral:lncRNA from 1 species
GUAGAAUCCAUUUUGAUACAAUUGUGUAAGCAAGGAAUUUAUCUUAUUCUAACUAAGACCCCAUUCCUAUGGGUGUACACAAUGGUGGGAUUCACUUAGGUAUUUUUAUAUACAUACAUAUAGUCUCAUUAAGUUGCUUAGGGCCUUGCUAAGUUGCUGAGGUUGGCUUUGAACUUCUGAUCCUUCUGCCUCAGCCUCUGGAGUCACUGGAAUUACAGGCAUGCACCGCAGCACCUGGCUCUCUUUUUAAAAUAUCUAUCUUUGCUCAUUUUCUCUACUCAGUUUAUUUUUGUAGCUUGAAAAUUGAAUACCUUCCAGAGACACAGCCCGUCGUUAUUUCUCAUCACAUUAUAUCAUGUAAUCCCAAGCUUAGUGGCAUCUCCACUUUUCUAGUCAGAUGAUGUACGUACAAAAUUGCAUGUGUGCACACACAACACACAUUUAUACACACAAAUAUGUUCAAAUAUGAUGGGAAAUUAAAAAAUAUUUAUGAUUAUAUCUUCUGUAUUCCAGACAUGAUAGGACCUGCCUUCAGCAGACUUGUCCUGCCUAAGGAAAAAAGUUGACUGAUCCAAAUAAAAUGAAGUGCAGUUACAAUUAUAAUAAGGAAUCUAGAAAUGAGAGCUGUGUGUGAAUGGGGCAAGAUCAGGCUGCAGCGAGGAGAACCACCUCGUCAUAGGAGGGACAUGUGGCCCUGAGAAGACGAGGAAUGAAGUGUGUAAUUUUUGAAAGGAUUGGGAAAAUGUAUUUUCUCCCCAUUCCUGUGUAUAGUCGUCCAAGUCCUGCUUUGAACCACAGUGUGCCAUGUUAUGAGAUGGUCUAUAGACCCUGUAGGCCAUUUCUCCUUUUUUACUUAGCUUAUUUCACUGUAAUGAUACAUAUCCACCUGUAAAAUGAGGAGCCAUGUCUUUGAUAUAAGCAGUGCUAAGUCUGGCCUCCUGGGCUGUCUGUGAUGAUAGACACAGAAUAACUCAGAAGCUUUUAACAGGGAAAGCGUCAAAUGAUAUAUUCAGGAAACUCUUUGACCCAGCUUAGUGAAGGUGUAGCACCCCGAGAAACUAAAACUUCCAGAGCCUUCACUCUAGCUGCACCCAGGAUAGCUCCUUGAUCCAGGGCCUCCAGGACAAGCAGACAUGCUGUACAGUUCCUCUGCCCCCUGCCAGCUUGCACACCAGAUAUCCCUCCUUCAGAACAGUCAGGAAUGCCAUCCCAGCCCAGCUCUCAUCCUUUCUGCUAAGACUGCGCUGCCAAGAACGUGUCUGCUUUCUUCAUCUCCUCCUUAUAUCUACCUUAAUUCCCUCUCUCUCCUCUCCCCUUUUUGUCAUUACCACUCCAGAAAGCAAUGAAAUCCCUAGAUUGAUAAGUGAGUUACUUCUUUCUAAGGUGACUUCUAGCAUUAAAAUUCUUCUGUGCUAUGAAAAAAAAUUUCCUUCCCUUCACAUUUAGUGCCUUUUCUGAAAUAAUGUUUUGGCAUCUGUAUCUUUCCCUUAAUCCCCUUGAGCAUUUAUGUACUUUUUCACCUGGCUGAUUUCUAAAAAUACAGUGUGCUUACUCAGAUAUUUUAUCUUUAUGCUCUGAAAAAAAAAUGCUGUCAAAUUAGACACAAAGUGACCUAAUAUCCCAUCUGCCAAAAAUCUUUCCAGAACUGCUCACAUGGAAGGUCAAUGAGACAAUUUGAAUAAUCUUGCUUUAAGUGUUGCUUUUAUUUCCUUCAGAUUGCUAAAUUAGGACUAGCAGUAAUUCUUUUAACACAUACUUAUUGGGGGUGCAGUAUUUACUGGGUGCUAAGGAAGCUGCAGUGAAAGGCCCCUGCUCUCAGUGGGGAGGGGGACAUAGUUUCAUACAGUGAUAAGUACUGUGAAGGAAGAAAGUAAAAAGAUACAUUUGAGGGGUUCAGGGUGGGGAACUUUGGAUUGAGUGGUCAGGAAAACCUUGCUGGGGAGGCAGCAUUUGCACUGUGACCUGAAUACCAAGCAGGAUGCAGGUCUGUGGAAAGUGAGAAGCAGAAUGUUCUAGGCAAGGAACAGGCAGAGCAGGAGAUGAACUUGUGUUUUAGCAAAGCCACUCUGGCUGCUCUGUUGGGAAUAAGCUGGAGAUGCAAAAUGAAAUAUGGGGUAGGGGACUAUUAUAAUAAAAGGUUAAGAGUGCUGGUAGCUGGAAAAGAGUGGAA